rnacentral:piRNA from 1 species
UGUCGUAUUCACUUUUGUCCCU